rnacentral:rRNA from 1 species
CACGUAGGGGCCAAGCGUUGUCCGGAUUUAUUGGGCGUAAAGAGCUCGUAGGCGGUUCAGUCAGUUGGGUGUGAAAACUCCGGGCUUAACUCGGAGAGGCCACCCAAUACUGCUGUGACUUGAGUCCGGUAGGGGAGUGGGGAAUUCCUGGUGUAGCGGUGAAAUGCGCAGAUAUCAGGAGGAACACCGGUGGCGAAGGCGCCACUCUGGGCCGGUACUGACGCUGAGGAGCGAAAGCGUGGGGAGCAAACAGGAUUAGAUCCCCUGGUAGUCCACGCCGUAAACGUUGGGCACUAGGUGUGGGCCCUUACCAACGGGGUCCGUGCCGUAGCUAACGCAUUAAGUGCCCCGCCUGGGGAGUACGGCCGCAAGGUUAAA